rnacentral:rRNA from 1 species
GCUUACCAUGCAGUCGAGGGCGCCUGGUAACACGAUCAGGCGAACGGGUGCGUCAACGUGAGAAGGACAGCCUCCCCGCGGGGGAUAGCCGGCCCAACGGCCGGGUAAUCUCUCUACGCCACUUGGGUUGCAUGACCUGAGUGGGAAACCUCCGGGGCAAAUCGUGGGGCUCGCGGCCUAUCAGCUAGUUGGCGGGGUAAUGGCCCACCAAGGCGACGACGGGUAGCUGGUCUGAGAGGAUGGCCAGCCACAUUGGGACUGAGAAACGGCCCAGACUCCUACGGGAGGCAGCAGUGGG